GAUGAACGCUGGCGGCGUGCCUAAUACAUGCAAGUCGAGCGAACAGACGAUGAGCUUGCUCCUCUGACGUUAGCGGCGGACGGGUGAGUAACACGUGGAUAACCUACCUAUAAGACUGGGAUAACUUCGGGAAACCGGAUCUAAUACCGGAUAAUAUAUUGAACCGCAUGGUUCAAUAGUGAAAGACGGUUUUGCUGUCACUUAUAGAUGGAUCCGCGCCGCAUUAGCUAGUUGGUAAGGUAACGGCUUACCAAGGCAACGAUGCGUAGCCGACCUGAGAGGGUGAUCGGCCACACUGGAACUGAGACACGGUCCAGACUCCUACGGGAGGCAGCAGUAGGGAAUCUUACGCAAUGGGCGAAAGCCUGACGGAGCAACGCCGCGUGAGUGAUGAAGGUCUUCGGAUCGUAAAACUCUGUUAUUAGGGAAGAACAAAUGUGUAAGUAACUAUGCACGUCUUGACGGUACCUAAUCAGAAAGCCACGGCUAACUACGUG
rnacentral:rRNA from 1 species